CCUACGGGUGGCAGCAGUGAGGAAUAUUGGUCAAUGGGCGAGAGCCUGAACCAGCCAAGUAGCGUGAAGGAUGACUGCCCUAUGGGUUGUAAACCUCUUUUGUAUGGGAAUAAAAUCUUCCACGUGUGGCGGUUUGCAUGUACCAUAAGAAUAAGGAUCGGCUAACUCCGUGCCAGCAGCCGCGGUAAUACGGAGGAUCCGAGCGUUAUCCGGAUUUAUUGGGUUUAAAGGGGGCGAAGGUGGACGUUUAAGUCAGUGGUAAAAUUUGGGGGCUCAACCGCGACGUGCAGUUGAAACUGGCAGUCUUGAGUACACGAGAGGUAGGCGGAAUGCGUGGUGUAGCGGUGAAAUGCAUAGAUAUCACGAAGAACUCCGAUUGCGAAGGCAGCUUACCGGAGUGAGACUGACGCUGAGGCUCGAAAGUGUGGGUAUCAAACAGGAUUAGAUACCCGAGUAGUC
rnacentral:rRNA from 1 species